rnacentral:rRNA from 1 species
ACAUGCAUACAACAUAGAUUUAAUGCGCUGGAUCCCAUUAGAAAUCCGCAGUUAAGCACACUCAAGCUAGACUAGUACUGGGAUGGGUGACCGCCCGAAAAUUCCUAGUGUUUUACAUUCC